rnacentral:tRNA from 1 species
GCACCCGUAGCUCAAUUGGAUAGAGCAUCUGACUACGGAUCAGAAGGUUGCUAGUUCGACUCUAGCCGGGUGUACCA